CAGAGGAGCAGAUAUGACCUUGAAUAAGUCCUCUUUUAGGAAAGGAAACUUGACUGUACAUAGAGUGAGAGCAAAUUAAUACUCAAGGUAAAGAGGGAUUGCCAUGCGGACCGUUGCUAUGGAUGUUGCCGGGGAAGAAUUGUUGGGGAAGAGGAAACUGUUAGCAAUGGCCUGGAGACUGAAGCUGGAUGUUGAUUACUGAAAUGAGGAGAAGGAAGCUGUGAUUGCUAGGGUAGAUCUGUCUAGCAACGGAUCGAGCAAAAGUUUGAAGAUGCCGGUUCAAGUGAGGUGCUGGAGCAGGCCAGGAAACUGAUGA